AAAACUUCAACAACCCCCCUAUGAUUUCUAACUUUCUCACUUUACUACCCCGUGGUUUAAAGUGUAUCAAUUUGUCCCCCCUGUGAUUUUGUUUUUAUUUUUUCUAUAGUUUUUUUCUUAAUAUUUCGUUAAAUUAUAUACAAAAAAACAUCAGAUAUCCAUCUAGAUUUACCGAAUAUUUACUUUAGUACUCUUUAAUUUUAAUUUUGUUACUGAUUUGAGAAAAAAAAAACAAUAAAAUUGAUAAAAAAAAGAGAAAAAUGAAACCACAAGGGGGCAAAUUGAUACACUUUAAAUCACAGGGUACUAAAAUGAGAACGUUGGAAACCACGGGGGGUUUUUGAAGUUAUCCCUAGAAAUUAAUAGCCUUCUUUUUUGAGAUAAUGCUAUGUCUAGUCUUAUUAGAAAAAGGAAAAAAAUUCAAUCUAAUUUUUUUUUAUAAUUUAGAAAAGAAAUAAUUUUUAUAUCAAUUUUUGCGUUAAUUAAAAAAAAAUAGAUUUUCUUCCUGUUCCAUUUUCCAGAACCUCUCUCUCACUCUCUUUCUCUCUCCUCCCCAACCACCUACCUCUCUCCUCCCCCAGCAGCACUCUCACUCGUGGAUAGUAAAUUCGCGAAUUAUUCGCGAACUUUUCAAGAAACGAAUUAAACUGUCGUUUUCAUACUUUUUCGAAAAAUUUGAAAAAAAACGUGUAUUUAUCGUCAAAAAUAAUUAUUCGCGAAGUAUUCACGAUUCGCGAAUUAUUCGCUCAAAAAAAAAGCACUCGUGGCCGCAGACUCGCGUUGUCGCCGCCCUGGCCAGCACUGCUCGCGUCGUCGCUGCUCUC
rnacentral:lncRNA from 1 species